rnacentral:misc_RNA from 1 species
UCCGGCUUAUCACCGGCAGUCCCCCUAGAGUGCCCAACUAAAUGGUAGCAACUAAGGACGGGGGUUGCGCUCGUUGCGGGACUUAACCCAACAUCUCACGACACGAGCUGACGACAGCCAUGCAGCACCUGUCACCGGUCCAGCCGAACUGAAGGAAUCCAUCUCUGGAAACCGCGACCGGGAUGUCAAGGGCUGGUAAGGUUCUGCGCGUUGCGUCGAAUUAAACCACAUGCUCCACCGCUUGUGCGGGCCCCCGUCAAUUCCUUUGAGUUUCAGCCUUGCGGCCGUACUCCCCAGGCGGGGUACUUAUUGCGUUAGCGCCGGCCCUCGGGGGGUCGCUCCCCCAAGCGCCUAGUGCCCAUCGUUUACGGCGUGGACUAC